AUACGUAGGGUGCGAGCGUUAAUCGGAAUUACUGGGCGUAAAGCGUGCGCAGGCGGUUUUGUAAGACAGGCGUGAAAUCCCCGGGCUCAACCUGGGAAUGGCGCGUGUGACUGCAAGGCUAGAGUGCGUCAGAGGGGGGUAGAAUUCCACGUGUAGCAGUGAAAUGCGUAGAGAUGUGGAGGAAUACCGAUGGCGAAGGCAGCCCCCUGGGACGAGACUGACGCUCAUGCACGAAAGCGUGGGGAGCAAACAGGAUUAGAAACCCUAGUAGUCC
rnacentral:rRNA from 1 species